rnacentral:rRNA from 1 species
AACGAACGCUGGCGGCAUGCCUAACACAUGCAAGUCGAACGAGACCUUCUGGUCUAGUGCUGCAAUGGUUCGUAACGCGUUGGAACCUGCCCUUAGGUUCUGAAUCACUCCCCGAAAGGGGUGCUAAUACCGGAUAAUGUCUCUGGUCCAAAGUUUUAUCUCCUUUGGAUGGGCCCGCGUUGUAAUAGCUAGUUUGUAGGGUAAAAGGCUACCUAGGCGACGAUCCAUAGCUGGGUUUAGAGGAUGAUCAGCAACACUGGGACUGAGACACGGGCCAGACUCCUAGGAGAGGAAGCAGGGGGGAAUAAGGGACAAUGGGCGAAAGCCUGAGCCAGCAAUGCUGCGUGAGUGAUGAAGGCCGUAGGGAUGGAAAGCUCGUUUACACGGGAAGAUAAUGACGGUACCGGGAGAAUAAGCUCCGGCUAACUCCGUG